UCCACGAGCCCACCCCUUGAGAGCAUGCUUUCUGUGGUCAAACCAGCCAGUCUUGAACGUUUUGCAUUUAACAUGGUUAGAAAACGCUUAUUUGCAUGCACAUUUUCGAUACAGUAUUACGAUACCUGACGUAAAUGUGCAUACAAAUAGUUUUCUUUUUCUAAUGCAUCAUGGUGCAUGUUGGAACUGCGUGACUAGGCCGCGUCUGCCUGGACAUGUCGAAUGCCGGCCGUAAGGUUUCAUAGCAGGUUUUCGAAGUGCUUGCAUAUCCCCACGUGGACCGAAUGGAGACGGGCUAAGGCCUAAUGAGACGGAAAUGGAUGUUGGUGUGGCUGGAUCCCUGCAUGAGCAACAUGGAAUCUGACUGAUCUACAAAUAGAAAAGUUACUGUCAAUUACAAGGAAAUGGAUGUUGGUGUGGCUGGAUCCCUGCAUGAGCAACAUGGAAUCUGACUGAUCUACAAAUGGACAAGUUACUGUCAAUUACAAGGAAAUGGAUUUUGGUGUGGCUGGAUCCCUGCAUGAGCAACAUGGAAUCUGACUGAUCUACAAAUGGACAAGUUACUGUCAAUUACAAGGGCCGCUCGUAAAGGUUCGUGGCAGGUUUUCGAAGUGCUUGCAUAUCCCCACGUGGACUGAAUGGAGACCGGUUAAGGCCUAACGGGACUGUAUCACGGAAAUGGAUUUUGGUGUGGCUGGAUCCCUGCAUGAGCAACAUGGAAUCUGAUUGAUCUACAAAUGGACAAGUUACUGUCAAUUACAAGGGCCGCUCGUAAAGGUUUGUGGCAGGUUUUCGAAGUGCUUGCAUAUCCCCACGUGGACUGAAUGGAGACCGGCUAAGGCCUAACAGGACUGUAUAAUGGAAAUGGAUUUUGGUGUGGCUGGAUCCCUGCAUGAGCAACAUGCAAUCUGAUUGACGAUCAACAAAUGGACAAGAUGCUGUAAAUUACAAGGUGACACCAGGACUCGUAAAUCAACAUGUUUGUGGGUUUCUAAUGCGUUCAUUCCUGAGCCAUUAGAAAAUGCAUACUGCUUAACUGUAGAAAUAUGUCUUGUGAAUAAAGCAAUUGUAAAAAAACA